GGGCGCAAGCSUGAUCCAGCAAUGCCGCGUGCMGGAUGAAGGCCUUCGGGUUGUAAASUGCUUUUGYAYGGAASGAAAAGCCCUGGGUUAAUACCMWGGGGUCAUGACGGUACCGUAAGAAUAAGCWCCGGCUAAMUACGUGCCMGCMGCCGCGGUAAUAMGUAGGGUGCGAGCGUUWAUCGGAAUUACUGGGCGUAAAGCGUGCGCAGGCGGUUUUGUAAGAYAGAGGUGAAAUCCCCGGGCUCAACCUGGGAACUGCCUUUGUGACUGCAAGGCUAGAGUACGGCAGAGGGGGAUGGAAUUCCGCGUGUAGCAGUGAAAUGCGUAGAUAUGCGGAGGAACACCGAUGGCGAAGGCAAUCCCCUGGGCMUSUACUGACGCUCAUGCACGAAAGCSUGGGGAGCAAACAGGAUUAGAUACCCYGGUAGUCCACGCCCUAAACGAUGUCAACUGGUUGUUGGGUYUUAAMUGACCUCAGUAMCGAAGCUAACGCGKKAA
rnacentral:rRNA from 1 species